AGUGUGCGUAGCACACUAUUGGUUUCGCUUUGAGAAAUGAAAUUUUAUUGGAACUGAAUGUUCUCUUAAGCUAUCCAACCGUUUUUUGUACCUAUUGGACACCAUUUGAGAAUCAUUAAGGCGGAGGGAAUAGAUUAAUUUUCAUUCAAUUCGGAUGGGUAAUUGCUGAGUAAUUGCAAUUUUAGUUCAUUAUUUUAAUGCAUUAAAUCCUAAAAAAGGGAAAAGGAGACUUGUAGAACACCUGCCGCUCAUUGUACCCUGCUAUACCCCCAGUCUAUUCCAUCACCAGCUGUGUUUCAUUGUACCCUGUUACACCCCCAGUCUGUUAGCUGUAAAUUCCAAGUGGGCGUGGUUUGGUGGGGCGUUUACCAAACAAAUAUAUUAUUUUAAUGCCCUAACCCUCGUAGCAAAGUUGUGGCUGAGUGGGUUAGGGCAUGUAGGUAGGAAUAGGAAAUUUAGGGACCCAGGUUCGAAUCCCCGUGAGGUAAGUACUAAAGCCCGGAACGAUGUCGUUAGUGAUGUAGUUAUAACAGCUAUCGCAUCGCUUAAAAGCGAUAUCCGUUAGUAAUCGGUAUCGCCAAAUAAAACCCGAACUUGUUAGUUGGUACAAUCACUUUUCAUAAAACGAUUAUUUCAGUAUCGUUUAUGCAUGGGCACAGAAAUCCUUAUCUGUUGCAUGAAUACAUGAAUGGUUGCGCACGCUUAUAUGAGCGCGGGGGUGUGUGAGUGUGUGAGUCAGUAUUCAAAAGUGUUUGCGAUAGCGAUACCAAAAGCGAUACUAACGACAUCGCUUCAAAUAAACCUGUUACUAACAGUAUCGUUAACAGUUUUGAAGUGAUGUCGUUGUAACGACUAACGACAUCGUUCCGGGCUUUAGUAAGUAGGUAGGUGACGGAUUUUUCAUAGGAAAAUUGGAUAGGUAAAUGCUUUGGAGUUACCUAUGUAGUACAUGAUAAUGGGGCAAACAUAAUGCUGAAAUUGAGUUAUGUGAAUUAUGAUAUCAUUUGCUAACUAAAAAUUCAUUUCAUUAAUUUUUUGUCUACCUAUAGCCAUAAGUAUAGUAAGAAUUACCUUGACAUGAAUAAUUUUUAACUUUUUACUUAUAAUUUAAAAAUUACUUCAAAAUGAGUAAUUAAACUAAUUUUUGUACAAUUGAAAC